rnacentral:lncRNA from 1 species
AAUUAAGGAUCAACGUCUGCUACGCCUAUUUCCAUUCAAGGAUCAACGUCUAAUACCAUGUGAACCCACAGUUUCACCGCUUCCACUAUGAAGUCGACCAUGCCAUGAAUGAAUGUACAAAUACCAAUGCAUAUGCAAUUAAGAUCAUCUCUACCAUCUUAACAUUCCACAUAUCACCAUAAUUCAACUCUAUGAAUUAUCCACCAAUGUUACAUAUACACAUUCAUAACAAAGACACCAUUCACAAAUCCACCAAUGACACAUAUACACAUUCAUAACAAUAUAUCAUUCACAAUCCACCAAUGGUACAUAUCCACAUUCAUAACAAUAUAUCAUUCACAAUCCACCAAUGGUACAUAUACACAUUCAUAACAAUAUAUCAUUCACAAAUAU